ACAAGACACAAGAAAAAUAAGUUAAUACAUUAAGUAAACUAAGUAAGUAAACUUUAUUUCUAUAGUGCUUUUCACAGACCAGGGUCACAAAGUGCUGCACAAAGUGUAAAUAAAAUAAUUAAAUAAUUAAAAGCAACAUACAAAACAAUAAAACACAGUAUUAAGCUAAAAAGCAAGUUUAAAAAAGUGGAUCUUAAGUUGUUUCCUAAAAGUGUCUAUACAAUCCAGAGAUCGAAUGGUACAAGUGAUUAGUCAGCCCCG